rnacentral:rRNA from 1 species
GACGAACGCUGGCGGCGUGCUUAACACAUGCAAGUCGAACGGAAAGGCCCUGCUUUUGUGGGGUGCUCGAGUGGCGAACGGGUGAGUAACACGUGAGUAACCUGCCCUUGACUUUGGGAUAACUUCAGGAAACUGGGGCUAAUACCGGAUAGGAGCUCCUGCUGCAUGGUGGGGGUUGGAAAGUUUCGGCGGUUGGGGAUGGACUCGCGGCUUAUGAGCUUGUUGGUGAGGUAGUGGCUUACCAAGGCUUUGACGGGUAGCCGGCCUGAGAGGGUGAACGGCCACAAUGGGACUGAGAUACGGACCAGACUGCUACGGGAGGCAGCAGUGGGGAAUAUUGCACAAUGGGCGGAAGCCUGAUGCAGCAACGCCGCGUGCGGGAUGACGGCCUUCGGGUUGUAAACCGCUUUCGCCUGUGACGAAGCGUGAGUGACGGUAAUGGGUAAAGAAGCACCGGCUAACUACGUG